UAGAGUUCAAUAAGAGUUUUAGACCUAGGCCUAGGAAUAGACUCAGUAGAGAGAUGUGUUAAUCACUGUUAAUGUGUAACCAUUUGGUAAUGUCUAAUGAAAGGAUGUUCGCCAGACAUUACCCGCGGCCUGCGGGUCUAAGUUUGUGUUUACCACUCUAGUGGAUUGGAUUUAGAUGUAUGUUAAACUUAACUAAUGAUCCUUUCAAGUUUUUUCUCUUUCGCUACGAAAAUAAAAUUAGGUUUGCGAAAAUGGGAUUACCCGAAGCCGAUACAUUCAUAUCUAUUAAAAACGAAAAGAGCGAUAGCUUUUAAAUGAAUGGGAUUAUAAAGUGAACAAUUAAACGAAAUAAUUUUUAGUACGCGAUUCAUGAAUGAAUAUAGAUCUAGGCGGCGCCUUCGACAUAGAAAGCCUUAGCUCUGACCAGGUCGCGGCCUACGUCAUCACUGGUCAGAGGCCAAGGUUAUGCGUCACUGAUUGAUGCGUGUGUACGUAACCACUCAGUCCACUGUGUUGCUGUGUAGUUUACAUAGAAAGAUUUCUUUUGAAACAAAUAGAAUCUUCAUCUAAAUAUGAUUUAGACUUUUCAAAAUAUUCAUCAUGGAUUAAAACUCUAGAUCUACAAUGGUGAACAAAUGCCUCGUUUUGUAAAGGAUCUAGAUCUAGCACUACUAGCAGAUAUGCUUUCCGAUUACCAAAAGAUGAAUGGUCUGGUGGCUUAGAAAGAAAAAAUGGCCAGCGGUAAUACCUUUGGCUUAGUAGAAGGAUUAGAUCUACGUAGCCUACCAUUAAAGGAGUACUCUAAAAUCUGCCAUUAACAUUUUCAAGACAAGUAUCAUGGACAGUAUUGAAGGAUUACAUACUAUAAAGGAAUACUCUAAAAUCUGCCGUUAACAUUUUGAAGACGAUGAAGUAUUGUGGACUAGCUACUACACAUGAAAGAGUAGAGAGUGCAUUAAAAAAAGUGUUAAGUCUCAGGAAGUCGCAGGAUGGCUACCUGGUCUUGUGGUUUGUGCGCUGGACUGUCGUUUGGAUUUAUCGAUGUCUCUGGUUCAAACCCUGCCCGCUCCCAUCCCCUGUCGUCAACUCUGAAGGAACAUCCGAAACAUGUCAAAUAUAUAAGGAUAUAAUAGUAAAAAAAACAUAUCAGUGAUUUCAGUGAAUUUCAAGAUAGUGUAAGAAAUAUAAAUGUGUCUUCGUUUUGGAUGUUCUUUGUCAAGAGGAGUGUAUGAUUUAUGUACACAUUGUAAAGGUUCUGGUCCAGUUAAGGUAGUAUAUUAUAUAUUCUAUUGUUCUUGGUACAUCUCUUUGAUGUUUUUUUUUUAAACAAACAGAAGUAUUUGGUAAAGGUGAUAAGCUACUUCUUAAAACUGUAUCCUACAUUUAUGAAAUUAUUAAUUUGUUAGAACUCAUAGAACAAUAUUCUACAAAAAAUUUUACCAACAAUACUAACAGUUUUUAAAUGCUAUUAAAGAAAACACUAAGUACACAAAUACACAAAAUGACAAUGAAAUAAAUAUAUUAAAUUGACUUAAACCAAACAGGACUAAAUAAGAAGACCAUGUCACUUUUUAUGGACUAUCUAAAUUAAGUAUUGUCUACCCACAUCCUUCAGAUUCCUGCUUAUAUAAGUUAUUGACCAUGUACACUACAUAUAUUUAAAGGUUUAAGAUACAGUGGGAUAAAUCAAAAAGAUGAAAAUAUUUCUUUUAUCUUUCCUAAUUUUAAUGAUUCAUCAAAACAUCAUAAAGUUUCUCUGUAAGUCUAACUGUUAGAUGUUAUAUUAUGGGUAAUUAUCUUGUUUUUUGAAGUAACUUGUGUAAUCUAUAAGAUAAGAUAUGUUGCUGGUUAUUGUGUUCAUGUGGUUCUAAAGAAAUUUAAUGACUGCAUGACUGGGAAUGGGAGCAGCCAGGGUUUGAACUUGGGACCAUCAAUAAAUCUAAGCGACAGUCCGGAGCGCAAGCCGCUCCACCAGGCAGCCAUCCAUAUAUAUAUAACAUAUAAUUUAAAUAACAUUAACAUUAUAUGAGCAAACCGCUUAAACUGGCAGCCAUCCAUAUAUUUAAAUUACAUUAACAUUAUAUGUAAUCAUUGUAUUUUUAAAAUGUGUAUUGUAAAUUAUUGAAAUUUUUUUUUUUCAUAUGUUCAUUAAGCAAUUGCAAUAAAAACUUAACUCAUUAAAGUGGUAUCCUUUGUCUGCAAAUAAAAUUGCUAUAUAACACCA